rnacentral:rRNA from 1 species
AUUGAACGCUGGCGGCAGGCCUAACACAUGCAAGUCGAGCGAGCGGCGGACGGGUGAGUAAUGUAUGGGGACUGCCCGAUAGAGGGGGAUAACUACUGGAAACGGUAGCUAAUACCGCAUACUAUCGAAUAACCCAUAUGGGAUUAGCUAGUUGGUGAGGUAAUGGCUCACCAAGGCGACGAUCCCUAGCUGGUCUGAGAGGAUGAUCAGCCCAACUGGUACUGAGACACGGCCCCGACUCCUACGGAGUCAGCAUUGGGGAAGAUUGCACAAUGGGCGCAAGCCUGAUGCAGCCAUGCCGCGUGUAUGAAGAAGGCCCUAGGGUUGUAAAGUACUUGCAGUCGGGAGGCGUUACCGACAGAAGAAGCACCGGCUAACUCCGUGCCAGCAGCCGCGGUAAUAC